rnacentral:rRNA from 1 species
UACGGGGGGGCAAGCGUUGUUCGGAAUUACUGGGCGUAAAGGGCUCGUAGGCGGCCAACUAAGUCCGACGUGAAAUCCCCAGGCUUAACCUGGGAACUGCGUCGGAUACUGGAUGGCUUGAAUUCGGGAGAGGGAUGCAGAAUUCCAGGUGUAGCGGUGAAUGCGUAGAGAUCCGGAGGACACCAAAGGCGAAGGCAGUGUCCUGGGGAGUACCUGACGCUCAGGUGCGAA